UACGUAGGUGGCGAGCGUUGUCCGGAUUUACUGGGCGUAAAGAGCGCGCAGGCGGCUGGUCAAGUCCGAUGUGAAAUCUCCCGGCUCAACUGGGAAACUGCAUCGGAAACUGAUCGGCUUGAAGGUGGGAGAGAGUAGUGGAAUUCCCGGUGUAGUGGUGAAAUGCGUAGAUAUCGGGAGGAACACCAGUGGCGAAGGCGACUACUUGGCCCAUUCUUGACGCUGAGGCGCGAAAGCUAGGGGAGCGAACGGG
rnacentral:rRNA from 1 species